AUGGAAUUUAACCCUUCCUAACCAACCCACGUAAAUAUCUCUCUCUCUGUCUUUCAUCUCUACCCACGUAGCCUCUCUCUCAUCCAUUCAACCUGCUCUCAUUGAUUGAAAGGAACCAGGAAGGCGUCUCACUCUCUCAUCUAUUCAACCGAACUAGGAAGAAGAAUCGACGAUCUGCCUCCGGGGAAAUCAGUGCGAAAGGUUGGCAACGAGGCGGUGACUGCAUAGAUUGAGUCUACUGGAGAUGACGAUCCAGAAGCACCGUUGGUGCCCAGACCAGAGAAGAGUCCAAGAAAAGUAGCGGCAGAAAGCUUCGGUGAUGUACUUGCUUUAUUCCACAAACUGUUCCCUCAGAUAGUUCCUCGAGAAUCCAUUGCACUACUGCUGGAGCCAAAUUGCUCUUGGGGUUGGUAAUGAAGUUGGUUAUACAGCGGGUUUGAACUGACAAUUUUUGGGCUCAGACUCCUUGUGACCAACCCAUUGGAUUUCAUAGUUCCAGCACUAGUUGGACACCAACCCAAAGCUGUCCCAGGCAGAGAUGAGCUAACAUUUGGAGUAUGUAAGUGCUUUCCAUUCAUGGAUUGAGGUCGCUGCAUCAUUAUGAUAGGUUCUCUAACAGCAGCUUAAAGAUUGAAGAUAUAGUACCGCAAUAAUUUGACAUGUUUAGGAACUAACAUGUUUCUCACGUUAGCUAAAAAAUUCUGCUAGUUGAAUUUUACAGCAGCAGAAAUAGCAAUUUAACAAGUAUUGAUUUUGUGCCAACAAUAAAUUACAAUUAUUGCAAGAGAAUAGAGUACAAAAGCUGUCAAGUUUAUCUAAAUUUUUUCCUUGGAUAGGACA